GACGUAGGGCGCGAGCGUUGUCCGGAUUUAUUGGGCGUAAAGAGCUCGUAGGCGGCUUGUCGCGUCGACUGUGAAAACCCGUGGCUCAACCAUGUGGUCUGCAGUCGAUACGGGCAGGCUAGAAUUCGGUAGGGGAGACUGGAAUUCCUGGUGUAGCGGUGAAAUGCGCAGAUAUCAGGAGGAACACCGGUGGCGAAGGCGGCAUCCUGGACCAAUAUUGACGCUGAGGAGCGAAAGCCAGGGGAGCAAACGGG
rnacentral:rRNA from 1 species